rnacentral:misc_RNA from 1 species
CUUUUUUCUUAUCCUUAAGGGUCAGCCACUUUUUGCAUUUUUUUUUCAUUUUUCGUUACUAAUUUUAAAGAAAAUUAAGGUUUUUAACUAACCAAAAAAUACAUUGAAUAACAUCAAUUAAAAAAGAAAAAAGAAAACAAUGUCAUAACUUAGGGAAUUUAUUUCAAGAAAAAUAAUUUUGAAAAGUAUUUUUAAUAUUUUUUAUAUUGAG